rnacentral:rRNA from 1 species
GAAGGUGUAUCUAGAAAGACAAAUUAGAGCUUGAAAAAUAAAGCAUUUCAUUUACAUUGAAAAGUAUAUUGUGUAAUUCAAUUUAAUUUGAUAAUAAAAAUUUAUUAAUUUUUUUUGUUUAAGAAUUUAUUUAAUAAAAUUAAUUUUAAAUUAAGUUUUUUUUUGUAUAGUAUAUAGAUCAAAUAAUUUAUAUAAUAGUUAAUUAGUAUUGUAAAAGAAUAUUGAAAUAUAUGAAAAAAUUUUAAAUUAAAAGUAAAUUUUAUAUAUUGUACCUUGUGUAUCAGGGUUUAUUAAUUAAAAGUUAAAAAUUUAAUUUUUCUCGAAUUUAAGAGGGUUAAUUUAUUAUUUAAUUUUUUGUUUCAUAAAAAUUUAAAAUAAUAAGUUAGAAAUGAAAUGUUAUUCGUUCUUUAAUAUAUCUAGUUUUUUAAGAAAUAAAUUAAAUUUAGAUUAUUAAUAGAUAAUUAUUUAUUUAAAUAAUAAAUUAUUAUUAAUAGUUAAUAUUUUAAGGGAUAAGCUUUAAAGUAAGUUUUAUAAUGAUUUUUUAAUUUAAAAAUUAUAGGUUUAGAAAUAGUCAUUAAUUAUAAAAAUGUUAUAAUUUAUUUUAAAUUAAAAAUAAUUUUUAUUAAUUUAAAUUUUUAUUAAAAUAAUUUUUAAAAUUAUAUAAGAAUUAAAAUAAUGAUAAAAUUAGUAUAUUUAAUUGUUUAAAAUAAAUAAAUUAAAAGGUUAAAUUAAGGAAUUCGGCAAAUAAAUACUCGCCUGUUUAACAAAAACAUGUCUUUUUGAAUAUAAUUUAAAGUCUAAUCUGCCCACUGAAAAAUUUUAAAGGGCCGCGGUAUU